rnacentral:rRNA from 1 species
AACGAACGCUGGCGGCAGGCCUAACACAUGCAAGUCGAGCGAAGCCUUCGGGCUUAGCGGCGGACGGGUGAGUAACGCGUGGGAACGUGCCCUUUGGUACGGAAUAGCCCCGGGAAACUGGGAGUAAUACCGUAUGUGGUCGAGAGACGAAAGAUUUAUCGCCAAAGGAUCGGCCCGGGUUGGAUUAGGUAGUUGGUGGGGUAAUGGCCUACCAAGCCGACGAUCCAUAGCUGGUUUGAGAGGAUGAUCAGCCACACUGGGACUGAGACACGGCCCAGACUCCGACGGGAGGCAGCAGUGGGGAAUCUUAGACAAUGGGGGAAACCCUGAUCUAGCCAUGCCGCGUGAUCGAUGAAGGCCUUAGGGUUGUAAAGAUCUUUCAGUGGGGAAGAUAAUGACUGUACCCACAGAAGAAGCCCCGGCUAACUCCGUGCCAGCAGCCGCCGUAAGAC